rnacentral:misc_RNA from 1 species
AAGUCGUAACAAGGUUUCCGUAGGUGAACCUGCGGAAGGAUCAUUACCGAGUUAGGGUCUUCCAGGCCCGACCUCCAACCCUGUGUUUAAUCUACCAUGUUGCUUUGGCGGGUCCGCCCCUCGGGGCCGCCGGGGGCUUUACCGCUCCUGGCCAGCGCUCGCCAGUAGCCUAUCCAAAAUUCUUUUUAACUGUGUUGUCUGAGUAUAAAUAUAAAUCGUUAAAACUUUCAACAACGGAUCUCUUGGUUCUG